AGAAGCUUGCUUCUCGCUGACGAGCGGCGGACGGGUGAGUAAUACUUAGGAAUCUACCUAGUAGUGGGGGAUAGCUCGGGGAAACUCGAAUUAAUACCGCAUACGACCUACGGGAGAAAGGGGGCAACUUGUUGCUCUCGCUAUUAGAUGAGCCUAAGUCGGAUUAGCUAGAUGGUGGGGUAAAGGCCUACCAUGGCGACGAUCUGUAACUGGUCUGAGAGGAUGAUCAGCCACACCGGGACUGAGACACGGCCCGGACUCCUACGGGAGGCAGCAGUGGGGAAUAUUGGACAAUGGGGGCAACCCUGAUCCACCCAUGCCGCGUGUGUGAAGAAGGCCUUUUGGUUGUAAAGCACUUUAAGCACUGAACAAGACUCCAUGGUUAAUACCCAUGGACGAUGACAUUAUCUGCACAA
rnacentral:rRNA from 1 species